UCUCGUAACAGAGCACUAGUUUAGUAAAUUAAAUUUUACAUUGAUAGUUGCACCGAAAAUUUAACGGAUCUAAACAAUAUACCGACACCUUGUCCAUAUUUAUCAAUAAUUUAUAUUAUUAUAUUUAAUGGGGUAGCAGAACGUUGGGUAAAUCUGAGACUUAUUCUUUUUAAGAAUAAAUAUUGAAUUCUUAGGAAUAAAAUUAAAAGCAUUAAAAGAUAACCCAAGUGAGAAUGCUGACAUGAGUAACGAAAAAGGACAAACUAAGCAGUCAUAACCACUGGAGUCCUCGCCUAAAGCUUAUGGUUUUUAUAAAGUAACGGCCUCUAAGUUUACCAACCUAAAGGAUUAAACGAUGAGAAAAUCUGAACUACAAAGUAACGACCCUCUUUAAAAGUGAAGAAGGUUCUGGAAAAACAAUAGUUAGCUAACUUGUUAGCAACACCGUACCUAGAAACUACCACAAGUAAGCUAGUAGAGAAUACGAAGGCGUUUGAGUGAACAAUCAUUAAGGAACUCGGCAAACUAACUACCGUAACUUCGGGAUAAGGAGAGCCAUUCCUCCUAAUUAAUAUUAGGUAAAGAAUAGGAAGCAUGGAAUAGUGUUGUACGACUGUUUAAUUAAAACAAAGCACUCUGCAGUAAGAUAAUAAAUCAAAGUAUUGAGUGUGAUUUCUGCCCGAUGUCGGCUGGUUAACGGAUUUUCUAAGUUGACUAAUAUAAACUUGGUUUUGAAGGAAACCCCGAUCAAUGGCGGCCUUACCUAUGAGGGUCCUAAGGUAGCGGAAUACCUUGGCCGUUAAAUGCGGUCUUGCAUGAAUGAUUUAACGAUGCAACAGCUGUCUCAAUGAUUGGCUCAGUGAAAUUGGAAUAACUGUGCAGAUACAGUUUACCUCUAGUUAGACGAGAAGACCCUAUGCAGCUUUACUGUUGCUAGUUAUUGAAUAUGAUAUUUUGAAAUUUUAGUAAUAUAAGGUAGCAUUAGCACAAGUGAAAGAGCUUUAUAGAUAAUAUCAUAUUGGUAGAUUAAAACCCUACGUGAGAAUAUCAAGAAAUCGAGAGAUGUCUGAUAUGAUCAUUAACCUUCCUUAUCUUUUAAAAGAUUAGAAGGGACAAUUGCUAGGAGGCAGUUUAUGCGGGGCACAGAUCCCAUAAAAAGUACCUGGGUGUAUCCAAAGUUAAUUUCGUAAAAUUGUCAUAACUUGAUUAUGGCAAUUAAAUAUACAUAAUUGUAUGUUUAAUCUUUUUUUAGUUUGUUAUUUGUUAUACCUUAAUUUUAAGCUAUAACAAAUCCAGCUAUAUAUCUAUUGAGUUAGAACUAAUAAAUUUUAUCCAAGUAAGAUUUUAACUAUAUGGUAAAUAGUU
rnacentral:rRNA from 1 species